UCCGGUUUGUCACCGGCAGUCCCACUAAAGUGCCUAACUUAAUAAGGGCAAUUAGUAGCAAGGGUUGCGCUCGUUGCGGGACUUAACCCAACAUCUCACGACACGAGCUGACGACAGCCAUGCAGCACCUGUGUCCCAGUUCCCUUUCGGGCACCCCAACCUCUCAGUUAGGUCCUGGGCAUGUCAAAAGUAGGUAAGGUUUUUCGCGUUGCAUCGAAUUAAUCCACAUCAUCCACCGCUUGUGCGGGUCCCCGUCAAUUCCUUUGAGUUUUAAUCUUGCGACCGUACUCCCCAGGCGGGCAACUUCUCGCGUUAACUACGGUACUAAGAAAGUCUCCUUCCCCAACACCUAGUUGCCAUCGUUUAGGGCGUGGACUAC
rnacentral:misc_RNA from 1 species